rnacentral:rRNA from 1 species
GACGAACGCUGGCGGCGUGCUUAACACAUGCAAGUCGAACGGAAAGGCCCUGCUUUUGUGGGGUGCUCGAGUGGCGAACGGGUGAGUAACACGUGAGUAACCUGCCCUUGACUUUGGGAUAACUUCAGGAAACUGGGGCUAAUACCGGAUAGGAGCUACUGCUGCAUGGUGGGGGUUGGAAAGUUUCGGCGGUUGGGGAUGGACUCGCGGCUUAUCAGCUUGUUGGUGGGGUAGUGGCUUACCAAGGCUUUGACGGGUAGCCGGCCUGGGAGGGUGACCGGCCACAUUGGGACUGAGAUGCGGCCCAGACUCGUACGGGAGGCAGCAGUGGGGAAUAUUGCACAAUGGGCGGAAGCCUGAUGCAGCAACGCCGCGUGCGGGAUGACGGCCUUCGGGUUGUAAACCGCUUUCGCCUGUGACGAAGCGAGAGUGACGGUAAUGGGUAAAGAAGCACCGGCUAACUACGUG